UGUGAAGGGCAGUGAAGCUUUUCUUCAGACCCUGUUUUCCGAAUGUUUUGUCGACGGUGGAAUUGACCGGCAUCUUGUUGCUCUUGACUGUGGUUCUGGCAUUGGGAGAAUCACCAAGAAUCUUCUCUUACGAUAUUUUAAUGAGGUUGAUCUUCUUGAGCCAGUCUCACAUUUCCUAGAUGUUGCCCGUGAAAGUUUGGUCUACGAAAAUCAUAUGGCCUCAGAUACACACAAGGCCACUAAUUUUUUUUGCACUCCACUUCAGGAAUUCACACCAGCUGCUGGAAGAUACGAUGUUAUUUGGGUUCAGUGGUGUAUUGGGCAUCUCACAGAUGAUGAUUUUGUUUCAUUUUUCAAGAGAGCAAAGGUUGGCCUCAAACCUGGUGGUUUUUUUGUCCUGAAGGAAAACACUGCACGAAGUGGAUUUAUAUUGGACAAAGAAGAUCGAAGCAUUACUAGGUCUGAUGUGUUCUUCAAGGAGCUCUUUUGUAGGUGCGGAUUGCAUCUUUAUAAAUCAAAGGAUCAGAGGGGAUUUCCCAAGGAACUAUUUGCUGUGAAGAUGUAUGCUUUAAUGCCAGAUAUGCCGAAGAAAAUCAGUAAGACUAGAUCCAAAACACAUGCAAAUAGGCCUGGCAUAAUCAAAUAAGGAUUUAGUCUCUCAAAGCUUCUAAAAUUGUUGUAAAAGGUGUUCUACUUUUCCAAUAUAAAAGCAGAUGUACAUGCUGUGACACCCAUGCAAGAGUAGACAGAAAUUGCAUUUUUCUACAUUCCUAAUGAAUUCGUUCUUCUUUGUACUUUUGUUCCCAAUCACCCUCUCCAUUUUCUCUCAAGAUGUAAUAAUAAUAAUAA
rnacentral:misc_RNA from 1 species